rnacentral:rRNA from 1 species
UGCGUAGGCGGGUCUUUAAGUCAGGGGUGAAAUCCUGGAGCUCAACUCCAGAACUGCCUUUGAUACUGAAGAUCUUGAGUUCGGGAGAGGUGAGUGGAACUGCGAGUGUAGAGGUGAAAUUCGUAGAUAUUCGCAAGAACACCAGUGGCGAAGGCGGCUCACUGGCCCGAUACUGACGCUGAGGCAAAGACUGGGGAGCAAACAG